AUUGAACGCUGGCGGCAGGCCUAACACAUGCAAGUCGAACGGUAACAGGAAGCAGCUUGCUGCUUCGCUGACGAGUGGCGGACGGGUGAGUAAUGUCUGGGAAGCUGCCUGAUGGAGGGGGAUAACUACUGGAAACGGUAGCUAAUACCGCAUAAUGUCGCAAGACCAAAGAGGGGGACCUUCGGGCCUCUUGCCAUCGGAUGUGCCCAGAUGGGAUUAGCUUGUUGGUGGGGUAACGGCUCACCAAGGCGACGAUUCCUAGCUGGUCUGAGAGGAUGACCAGCCACACUGGAACUGAGACACGGUCCAGACUCCUACGGGAGGCAGCAGUGGGGAAUAUUGCACAAUGGGCGCAAGCCUGAUGCAGCCAGGCCGCGUGUAUGAAGAAGGCCUUCGGGUUGUAAAGUACUUUCAGCGGGGAGGAAGGGAGUAAAGUUAAUACCUUUGCUCAUUGACGUUACCCGCAGAAGAAGCACCGGCUAACUCCGUG
rnacentral:rRNA from 1 species